rnacentral:rRNA from 1 species
UACGAAGGGGGCUAGCGUUGCUCGGAAUCACUGGGCGUAAAGCGUGCGCAGGCGGUUCGUUAAGUCAGAUGUGAAAGCCCCGGGCUCAACCUGGGAACUGCAUUUGAAACUGGCGGGCUUGAGUGUGGCAGAGGGGGGUGGAAUUCCGCGUGUAGCAGUGAAAUGCGUAGAGAUGCGGAGGAACACCGAUGGCGAAGGCAGCCCCCUGGGUCAAAACUGACGCUCAUGCACGAAAGCGUGGGGAGCAAACAGG